rnacentral:rRNA from 1 species
UACCAGACUCCUACGGGAGGCAGCAGUGGGGAAUAUUGCACAAUGGGGGAAACCCUGAUGCAGCGACGCCGCGUGAGCGAUGAAGUAUUUCGGUAUGUAAAGCUCUAUCAGCAGGGAAGAAGAUGACGGUACCUGACUAAGAAGCCCCGGCUAACUACGUGCCAGCAGCCGCGGUAAUACGUAGGGGGCAAGCGUUAUCCGGAUUUACUGGGUGUAAAGGGAGCGUAGACGGCGAUGCGAGCCAGAUGUGAAAGCCCGGGGCUCAACCCCGGGACUGCAUUUGGAACUGUGUGGCUGGAGUGUCGGAGAGGCAGGCGGAAUUCCUAGUGUAGCGGUGAAAUGCGUAGAUAUUAGGAGGAACACCAGUGGCGAAGGCGGCCUGCUGGACGAUGACUGACGUUGAGGCUCGAAAGCGUGGGGAGCAAACAGGAUUAGAUACCCUUGUAC